GUUUACAACAAAAAAAAAAAUUAAGUUUGUACGAUUUAAGGUUAUUUCUAAUAAUGUGAACAUGAAUGAAUUCAGACUCAGGACACAAUGACCGACACCCAAACCAACCAAUCAGGGUUCAGAACCAAAGCGGUGGGACGGCCCACAUUUUUUUUAUUUGGUGAAACUUUAUCGCUUUACAGUCGCCGUGAAAUCAUCAUAUUGCUGAGUUUAAAAGAGGUGUGUCCAAGCCAGUCACAUGACAAACACGAAGUUAAAAUCAACAAAAUAUUAACAUUAGAAAAGCAAAGACAAAAAGCGUAAAAUAUAGCCAGAUAAAAAACAAAGUUAAACAGAAUACAGAGAAAGAGAGUGAGAGAGAAAGAAAAAGAGACACAAAAACAGAUGAGGUGAAGAAGAAAGGAUCGAUUGAAGAGCGAGAUGUACAAUCCUCUCAUCCUCCCUCUCUCUCUCUCUCUCUCUCUCUCCUCUCUUCUCUCUCUCUCUCACUCCCUCCCUCUGUAGCAACUUUCGGAGCCUGUGUUUGUGUCACUUUGACAACAGUGGGUGGGGUCAGGAUAUAUUGAGCCAAUGAGGGCUCUUCUCUAAGGCAUCAUGUGGCACAUACUGACACUACUGAUUCCUGUAGGAGUGUGUACUCUCUAUCAGUAUACUGCACUGUGAGUACUGGGUAUAGUGGGAGUCAUGGAACUCUGUGUGUUUACCUCCUAGGGGGGCCCUGCAUUAGUAAGCAGGGUUGAUAUCAGUACAGGUAUAGUACUAGUAUAUAGUAGUGGUAGUAUGUAUACUACAGUGGCAGUAUUAGUACUGUUAUACAGAGUGAAGUGGUUCUGUGUGUGUGGAGAUGCAGAUGGAGUCGGCCACUUUGUUAUUUAUUCAGCGUUUUGAUGAUUGUGUUGCGAGUGAGUUGGAGGUGAUUCCCCUACAUGUGAACCACAGUACAGGUGAACCUACAGGUGAACCACUGUACCGGUGAACCCCAGUACAGGUGAACCUACAGGUGAACCACUGUACCGGUGAACCUACAGGUGAACCACUGUACAGGUGAACCUUCAGGUGAACCACUGUACAGGUGAACCACAGUACAGGUGAACCUACAGGUGAACCACUGUACAGGUGAACCCCAGUACAGGUGAACAAAAGUACAGGUGUAAUGAAGAAUCCCAAGGUGCCUUCACUUUUAAACUCAGAGGGCAGCACACUCACUGAAGACAUCUAGUCUGAAGUUGUAACUGACCACUCCCACCUGACCUCCGCCCUGACCUCACCC
ensembl:lncRNA